CAGGGAAUCAGCAGCAAGCAGGGCACACGCAGCAGAGAGACAGAGAGAGAGGGAGGAAGAGACAGGGAGAGUGUGAGUAGGAUUUCUGCGCUUUAUGACCAAAACCUCACAAUACUUCCCACUCUAGCUAUUCCUCCCUUUCUUCUCUGUGCUCUGAGACAGAGAAACCUCCUCUGGUUGUCUGUAUUUCUUGCUCCAGGCCAGUGCUGACUACUACUGAGGAGAAGAUAGCUGAGGCAGAGGCAGCUCCAGGAGGAUCUGCUGCCUGGUCUGCAUCUCCAGCCUCCACCUCCUCUCCCCCUGCGGAAGGCCGGGUUAGUCCGACAGGAUGGGCUGCACCACUGGCAAACUGGCCUGCCAGACUCCACCCCAGCCCCCAGGAGCCCCGGCCCCUGGACAAGACAAUCAGGCCCUGAGCCAGCUGGAAGCUCAGGGGCCCAAAGUCCCGGAGGUCCUAUCCAGUCUGGAGCGCCUUUCCCAGGCCACGGGCGGCAUGGAGAAGUCCUGGUAUCGCUGCAUCUUCCCCUUUGGCAUCAUCUCAUUGGUGAUCGGUGUGUCGGGCACGGCUGUUACUUACACAUACAACGACCUGCCCCUGACCAAAGUGGUGACGGUAGUGUUGCUUAUAGCCGGCCUGGUGCUGACACUGACCGCCGCCGCCUGCUGGACGGUCCACAAGAGAAAGAAGAGGAAAAUGAAAGAGAGGGCCUCAGGAGCCGGAGGAGGAGGAGGAGGAGGGAGCUCCUUUACCUCAGAGCAGUGCCCUUUGUGAGGAACGCCUGGAGCCUGGGAUAUUCUGACCACACAGGGACAUGAGAGAGGAGAGAAGCCCCAGGAAGGGAGUACCGCCAGGGGGCUGGGCUAGCCACCACCACCAGCCCUCCCUAGUCUUUAUGGAGCCUGGCUGCUCUUGGCUCAGCUCAGAGCUUGGGAAGAGGUGUGGAGAGGAGGACAAGGACUCAGGAAGAGGUGUGGAGAGGAGGAAGACAAGGACUCAGGAAGAGGUGUGGAGAGGAGGAGGACAAGGACUCAGGAAGAGGUGUGGAGAGGAGGAGGACAAGGACUCAGGAAGAGGUGUGGCAAGAAGGAGGGUGAGGACUCAGGAAGAGGUGUGGAGAGGACGAGGACGAGGACACAGGAAGUGGUGUGGAGAGGAGGAGGAUGAGGACUCAGGAAGAGGUGUGGCGAGGAUGAGGGCUAAGGGUUCACGGACAGACAGACAGGCGGAGGAAGUACCUGGGGAAAGGCACAGGGAGAGAGACAGAGGGAGAGAGACAGAGGGAGAGAGACAGAGGGAGAGAGACAGAGAUAGAGAGACAGAGAGAGAGAGAGACAGAGAGAGAGAGAGACAGAGGGAGAGAGACAGAGAGAGAGAGAGAGAGAGACAGAGGGAGAGAGACACAGAGAGAGAGAGACACAGGGAGAGAGAAACGGAUGGUUCUGGCAUGCGGGUUCACCACCUCCUCCACACACGCGCUUCUACCGUCGGACAGCAGGUGUCCAGUGUCAAAACAACCUCUCAGGAGACACACAGGCUCCCUGAGACCCCCUCACACACAUUGACACACACAGCGGGAGCCUCACACAGACACUUCAUCCGCUAUGCCGAGCUGCUGCCGGAGUCAGUGCUGCCGUCACCGGCCGCGUCAGUCGCAGCAUUCCUCCCAGCCAGGACAGGUGACAGGCCGUCCGACUGGUGAAAAGUGGGCCAGCGACGGCAACUCGACACCGGGCCGAAAGAGGAGUGCACCCGCGUCGGUGCCCCGCGUCAUUCACUCGUCCUGUGACACUGCAGCAAUGUGUUGGGGCUUUUGUUACGCAACGGGAGAGUGGAACCUGAGUCCACCAGGAUCUUACUGGCAGCUGGUGGUAGAGGGACGAGGAGAGGAGCAGGAGAGGGCAGGAAAAUUGUGUGUUUAUAUGUGUGAGUGUAUUUGUGUAUGUGUGUGUGUAUAUGUGUGUGUAUAUGUAUGUGUGUGUGUGCAAGAAAGACAUUCUGCUGGACCGAAAGAGUAUGUACAGAACCUGUGGACUUUUUCCAGUGUAAGAACACAAGAACUAAUGUAUGGAACAAAGAAAUCACACAUCUACACUAUUACACUAGACCAGAGUGACCAGUCCCUUCAGUAUUACAGUAGUAGGUCAGUCUAAAAGACUACUAUUCUAGACUGUGGAAUACAGACCAAGGAGGAGAAUAUUCCACAUGUCAUAAAGGCUAUAAAGGCCCAAAGGAAACAAUGUCUCUCUGCCUCAGCUAUUGGUAACACAGAAUUCAGAGUUUUUAGGUCCAGCACCGGUGUUAAUCCUGUCAGUGGAAAAGGGACGUGAAGGCAUUUUCCCCCCUGUUUUCUCCAUGCAGCCAUUCUGGGAGUGGAGAGUGGAGUGGAGUGGAGAGUGGAGUGGAGAGAGCUGAGUGAGGGACUGCACUGCACACCUGAUACGCUGUAGUGUGACUAUGAGCAUUGACCUCUGUCAGUUUCUCUGCAGUCGUACGACCUCAGCUCCUCUCUCACAGAGAGAGAGCAAGAGAGAGCGAGCAGGGGACAGGACGGGAUAAAUGAAGGACAUUACUGCUGAGGGGACAUUCCACCGAGGGAGACUUUGACUUGGUGACACUCCACUCUGAGGGACCCCUCCCGUCCCCUUUUCAGUGCCUUGAGCGAGUGGAGCAGAGAACUGGAGAGCUGGAUCAUGGAAAAAGGCUCUGACUUGUGUGUUACCCGUUUCCAUCUGCUUUUCUGCUCUUUGGAGAAUUUCCCCCUCUCUCUCCUCCCUCUCUCUCCUCCUCUUUCUCCUCCUCUCCCUCUCCCUCCUCUCUUUCCUCCUCUCCCUCUCCUCUCUCUCCCUCUCUCUUCUCCUCUCCCUCUUCUCCCUCUCUCUCCUCCUCUCCCUCUCCUUCCUCUCUUUCCUCCUCUCCCUCUCCUCUCUCUCUCCUCCCUCUCUCUUCUCCUCUCCCUCUUCUCCCUCUCUCUCCUCCUCUCCCUCUCCUCCCUCUCUCUCCUCCCUCUCUCUCCUCCU
rnacentral:lncRNA from 1 species